rnacentral:rRNA from 1 species
ACGCCGCGUGAGUGAUGAAGGUUUUCGGAUCGUAAAACUCUGUUGUAAGGGAAGAACACGUGCGAGAGGUACUGCUCGUACCUUGACGGUACCUUACCAGAAAGCCACGGCUAACUACGUGCCAGCAGCCGCGGUAAUACGUAGGUGGCAAGCGUUGUCCGGAAUUAUUGGGCGUAAAGCGCGCGCAGGCGGUCUUUUAAGUCUGAUGUGAAAGCCCCCGGCUCAACCGGGGAGGGCCAUUGGAAACUGGAAGGCUUGAGUACAGAAGAGAAGAGUGGAAUUCCAUGUGUAGCGGGUGAAAU